UGUGGUAUGAUUGCCAUGUUGAGACAACUCUCCACAAGAGACCAAAAUGACACAGAAAUUAACAAUUAUAGGUUACCGUACGGCCUUCAACAAAGAGCAAAGCCCAUACCGCAUACUCAGCUUCAAAAGGCCCCGAAAUGACAAUGUAAAACAAUGCAAACGAGAAAACUAACGGCCUUAUUUAUGUACAAAAAAUGAACGAAAAACAAAUAUGUAACACAUAAAAAAACGACAACCACUGAAUUACAGGCUCCUUACUUAAAUAAAUGUUCAUAACAUACUAAAUGUAUGUUCAUAUUGAAAUUGAUAGAAAACCAUAAAUUGGGAACUUUGGAAAUAACCUAUGACUUAUGAUACUUUUGCUGAAAUUCUCCAGUCAUUCUGUAUUUAACAAAAUUCUUCCAACA
rnacentral:lncRNA from 1 species